GGGGAAGGCAGGGGAGGCUGGCGUCUCACCGGGGACUGAGCACUUCCUAGUCCUACCCAUCAAAGCUGUGGGCUUUGAGAAUGGGGUCCUUUCUGUGGAACUGAGUCAGAGAUCCCUCCAACUCCACCUCCAACUCAGAGACAUCUGAGUGGCAAAGUCAAUCCGAAAAGCAGUGAAAGACAAAGGCCCAGAGUCUAAGCCAAAAUGGGCUCAGGACAUAUUUGGCUCCUCUUGUAACUUUCCAUACUCUUCCUGCAUCAUGGCAACCAGCUCCAUGACUUCCCUACUCCUGGUGAGCCCGGAGUCCUGCACAUGGAUCUAGACCUGUGUUUUCAUCUACCCAUGGAGCAGCUUCCACCUGGAUCUCCCACGAGCACCACACCCUCAUCCUGGUCAUUUUCACCCCGAAGUCCAACUUUCCUCCUGCGAUGCCUCCAUCACACCCCUUUGCCCAAACCAGGAACCGUGGGACUCAUUCUGAGCUCCUCUCCUGCAACCAGCUGAGCACCGGGUCCCAUGGCUCCUAUUCUUAGAAACACCUCCUAGAGCCCCAGGCCACUCACCAGCCUAAAAGUUUUGCAGGAUAAAAUCUAAAUUCAAGACCGUCCAUGAGCUGAGCUGGCCCGCCUCCCCAGCCCUGUCUCUUGCACUCCUGUCUCCCUCCUCCCUCCACAGCACUCACACACCCAUUCCUGAAGGCUCACUGAAAGACUUUCAGUUCCCUGAACUCGCCCUGCUCUUUUACGUCAACGUUUCCGGACCUCUGUUCCUAAUGCUCUUUCUGCCUGGAAUGGCCUCUGGUAGCAGGCUGAUUUCCCUCUUGCCCUUCAC